UUUUUGCAUGGAUUGUCUGUGUUUCUUCUUAUUGUGCUUUACUCAGGACGCUUCUUGGUGUCUGCAAAGUGGCUUUGUGCCCCACGUGGGGGUGUAACCCCCAGCCAAUAACGGCGCGCAGGGUGUGCAUCCCAUUCAGGUGGUCAAAUACCGCCGCUUUGUCACGCCCCCGGCUUCUGAUACCGACUCACAAGUCUCCCUUUAGCUCUGUCAGAUACAAAGCGGCCGU